UUAAUUGAAACCAAAAAGAGGUAUAUCACUGUUAAUGAUAAAACUGAGAGACUCUCCAAUUAAG
rnacentral:tRNA from 1 species